CAUUAUGUAUGGAUAUAAAACCGUCACUCACAGGAAGAUCUACCUCUUUUUCCUUCUCAAGAUGGUAAGGUUCGGCAGGCACUUUCAUAAUCAAUUACUCCACGGGAAACUACAGCAAUGUCACCCGAAGGGCAGUCAUGCUGUACCAGUUUACCUGAAAAGAAGCCAACCCAAACUAACCAACCCGGGGACAAUCAUUACAGACGAGGAUAGCACACUGUCUGGUAAACAUAUUGAUGACACCAUAGUUGAGGCAUUAAACCCAAAUGCGAUCCACGGAGGACUGUUCUCUCACUCAGUAAAGCACAUCCAGAUGUGACUUUCACAGGAGAGAAGGACACCACUAAUGGAAAUGAGACUGGUCCAGUUACUGGGCAGGCAUAUGCCACCACAACACCUGUAAAACAGAUUAAACGUCUUAAAAAAAGAGUAGAUGUAGAUUCUUUUGAUUUAGAAAUUGUGGAAUCCCAGGGCCUCAUUUCUGAAAAAAUAAAUAAAUGGGGGUCAAAGAUGUACAUCUUAACUCAAGAACACCUACUAUAUACCAAAAGCAAACAUCGAGAUGGGGGUAAAUAAUAUUCAUAAGCACUUAACUGAACAAAAUGCAGAGUUAAAGGGACUUAAUACACAGCUGGUAACAUUCAAUACAUCUAUUGGAACGCUAGUGCGGCAUGUGACACAAUCAAACUUUACCACAAGCCAGCAAAGGGAACAGCAGCCAUCAACAUCUGGUACACCUGCACGGCGCAGCGGCAGAGAGCAAGAGAAAACAUUAAAAAAUGAUUCUCUUUUAAAGCCACACCCACCAUUUAAGUAGAAAUAUAUCAUUUAUGUUGUGUACAUAACUUGAUUUGAUGACAAAAACAAGGAUUGACAAGUA